UAUGAUCCUAUAUUUUUCGAAUUGUUCGUCGACCAAAAACAGUUAUGGAUCAUGAAAACAACGCUUCUUCGUGUUAAAGUUGAUUGGGGACUAUGAUCCUAUAUUUUUGGUGUUUAUUUUGGAUGGUCCGGAGUUUUUGGCUGCAACUAUGUUGGACAGAGAUAUGCUUGCUAUGGCUGGAAAUUGGUACCAUAUCGGU